GGCUGAACUACAGCAAAGUAGUUGAUGGCUGUUGGAUGAAAAUGAGUUUAUGGUUUCUGUGCACCAAAGUUUGGUAGCAGAUAACUGUAUCCUGUCAGUUGUGUUGACCCUUGCUAUAAUUAGAUAUUUAAAGUAAACUGGCAGAUGCCUGUAAGAUGCUGUCAUGAUUUGGUAUUUCACACUGACAUAUGGUAUUUAAUUAUUUCUCUCUAAAUUUAACAUCUUAAGAUUGCUCCAUCUUGAAAAAUACUUCUCAAAUUAUUUACAGUUCAGUCUGAAUUCCACUUUUUCAAAGUGGGUAUCUGCAGAUGAUGCACAGUAGUUCAUGCUUUUAAAUCCUGUGGGCUUUGAUUCAUUGUUAAGCAUUAACUAAAAUGAUAAUUUCCACAGCAUAUGUAAUAAUAGAAGAGAGAAGACUGACAGGGAGGCGUGAGCUUUAAGAAUACAUUUUACAAUUUUUUUCCUAGAGGAGGUUGUAUUUGUAUUCUCAGGCAUAAUGAUACACAGCAGCCUUCAGCAGCAGGAGAAGAGCAAGUGGAAAUGGAGAACUGAAACAAAUGUGGACAAAAUAGCAGAAAAGUAUGCUUUGAAUUCAGAAACAGCUGUACAAAAUCUUAUCAGUGAGGAGGCAACUGAGAAGUGUGUUGUGCUGGUUGAUUGCUCUUCAGUUCCAAGGGAGUUCCUCAGGUGGGUGGAAUUGUUUCCAUUGCUGCUGCAGUGGGCUUUUAUGAAUUUAAUCUUGGAAAAUUAAGGCACAUUAAAUACUGAGUUUCCCUUUUUGUUAGGGCUCUUUUCCUGUGUUACAUAUUGUUGUAACCAUUCAAACCAAAGAGCUCUGAGCUCAAUUUCCUCAAUACAAAGCUGUGCAAUUUCAUACUGUGGUUGUAUUUUAAGUGUUGUCUGUGAGAGCUCUAUUAGGCCUGUUAGUGUGUUCUCUUGUACAAUGGCACAUUAGAAAUCUUGAUUGCUGUUCCUGGCUAUUUCAUAUAGUUGUGCUAGAGCUCUGCAAUGGGAAUAUUUGAAGAGCAGAGAAGAAGAGGAGAUAGUUUUGUAGAAAGGCACAUAUGCGCCCCAAAACUGGUUGCGUUAGAAACUCUGCCACUGGGUUUAGCUGAGUUUCAAACAUUGUGUUCACAGAACAAGUUGGUAUUGCCUGGUUUUGGAGCUGUAGUAAUUCCAUAAUAGUUCUUCUGUUUGAUGCAGUCAAAAGAGGAAGUCAGGUGUUAGAAGUUAUGAGGGAAGGGGUAGGAAUCAGUGUUUUGCCGCAGAAUGAUUCCAUGGCACAUGCUCAUCUUAAUAAGGUUCACUGAAGGGCAGCAGAAGUGCUAUGAGGCUAGUUUCUGUACAGGGCAUGUUUAACUGGUAGGCUAGGACUUCUCAACCUGGAAAAAGGAUGCUUCAGGUCUUGUGUGUGAUGGAGAAUUGUAAAGUGGGUGGCAUAAAUACA